GGUUCGAUCAUGGCUCAGAUUGAACGCUGGCGGGAUGCUUUACACAUACCAAGUCGAACGGCAGCACGGACUUCGGUCUGGUGGCGAGUAUGGCGAACGGGUGAGUAAUGUAUCGGGCGGUAUUAACACAAAUGGCGGGGAUAACUACGCGAAAGCGUAGCUAAUACCACGCCUGCGCCCUUCGGGGAAAGCGGGGACCUUCGAGCCUCGCACUAUUAGAGCGGCCGAUAUCGGAUGGCUGAUUGAACAGGCCCAGCGGCUCACCAAGGCGACGAUCGCCGGCUGGUUUCGAGAGGACGACCAGCCACACUGGGACUGAGACACGGCCCGAACUCCUGAGGAGAGCAGCAGUGGGGAAUUUUGGACAAUGGGGAAACCUGAUCCAGCCAUCGCGUGUCUGAUGAAAGGCAUCGGGUUGUAAAGCACUUUUGGCAGGAAAGAAACGGCACGGGAUAAUACGUCACAACUGACUACCUGCGAAUAAGCACCGGCUAACUACGUGCCAGCAGCCGCGGUAAUACGUAAGGGUGCAAGCGUUAAUCGGAAUUACUGGGCGUAAAGCGUGCGCAGGCGGUUCGGAAAAGAUGUGAAAUCCACAGAGCUUAACUUUGGAACUGCAUUUUUAACUACCGAGCUAGAGUGUGUCAGAGGUGGAAUUCCGCGUGUGUGAGUGAAAUGCACGUAGAUAUGCGGAGGAACACCGAUGGCGAAGGCAGCCUCCUGGGAUAACACUGACGCUCAUGCACGAAAGCGUGGGGGCAAACAGGAUUAGAUACCCUGGUAGUCCACUAAGCAAAUAAUCAACCAGCUGUUGGGGCCUUCCGGGCCUUGGUGGCGCAGCUAACGCGUGAAGUUGACCGCCUGGGGAGAGUACGGUCGCAAGAUUAAAACUCAAAGGAAUUGACGGGGACCCGCACAAGCGGUGGAUGAUGUGGAUUAAUUCGAUGCAACGCGAGAAAAACCUUACCUACCCACUUGACAUGUCUGGAAUCCCGAAGAGAUUUGGGAGUGCUCGCAAGAGAACCGGAACACAGGUGCUGCAUGGCUGUCGUCGGCUCGUGUCGUGAGAUGUUGGGUUAAGUCCCGCAACAGGCGCAACCCUUGUCAUUAGUUGCUACGAAAGGGCACUCUAAUGAGACUGCCGGUGACAAACCGGAGGAAGGUGGGGAUGACGUCAAGUCCUCAUGGCCCUUAUGGGUAGGGCUUCACACGUCAUACAAUGGUCGGGACAGAGGGUCGCCAACCCGCGAGGGGAGCCAAUCCCGUUAAGAAACCCGAUCGUAGUCCGGAUCGCAGUCUGCAACUCGACUGCGUGAAGUCGGAAUCCUUAGUAAUCGCGGAUCAGCAUGUCGCGGUGAAUACGUUCCCGGGUCUUGUACACACCGCCCGUCACACCAUGGGAGUGGGUUUUACCAGAAGUAGUUAGCCUAACCGUAAGGAGGGCGAUUACCACGGUAGGAUUCAUGACUGGGGUGAAGUCGUAACAAGGUA
rnacentral:rRNA from 1 species